rnacentral:rRNA from 1 species
CCGCACGGGUGCGUAACACGUAUACAAUCUGCCUUUAACAGGGGGAUAGCCUUUCGAAAGAGAGAUUAAUACCCCAUAACACAUGAAAUAGCAUUAUUUUAUGUUAAAAGCUCCGGCGGUUAGAGAUGAGUAUGCGUCUGAUUAGCUAGUAGGUGAGGUAACGGCUCACCUAGGCGACGAUCAGUAGGGGAUCUGAGAGGAUUAACCCCCACACGGAUACUGAGACACGGAUCCG